rnacentral:lncRNA from 1 species
GAAGGAGAUGUGUCUGCAGAGAGACAUGUUUGUGGACAACAGGAUAUGGUACCAAAGGAAGUAGUGUCAUUCGGGCUUUAAGAAAGAGGACAGAUUUAACAAUGGCCAGUAGAUGAAGGUGCUUGGGUCAGCAGGAAGACUGCAUGUCUCCUCUUGAGUAUGUAGAGCUCUGACACAGGGCAGGAAGUCCCCAACAAUUCCAUAUUCCAGGGCUGGGCAGACUGCAGAAAAGAGGGCAAGGGAGGCCUGGGAAAUCAGGGAGAAGUAGAUUUAACUUAUUUCCACCCCAGUGUCUGCAAUGCAGCUGCAGAUUAGCUCAUUGGGCAGAAUGCUGGUCUAGCCUGCACAAAGCUGUGGGUUCCAUCCCCAGCACCCCUAAACCAGGCAUACAGGUACACAAUUCUCACCCGAGUGCUUGAGGAGUAGAAGCAGAAGGAUCAGAAAUUCAAGGUCAAUCAAAGUUAUGUAACAAGUACAAGGGCAGCUUGGGCUGAAGGAGAACCUUUCUCAAUAAAAAAAAAUAAAAUUAUCCUGUCUAAUGGGCGUGACUCGGGAGAGGUGUCUGAAGUGAUGGAGGAGGGGGACAGAAUGCCAAGCACACAUUAAGCCUCCUUGUUGUUACAUCAUUAGAGUCACUGUGUCUGCAGUACACCCUGUCUCUGUGGUAUAGAAGCUUCUGGAGGACCCUCAGGACCACCCACCCUGCUUUCAUGAUUCACUGAUAUCAGAUAGUCUGACCACCCUCAACCUCUCCUACAUGCUGUUCCACCUUUACAGCCCUUGAGAAGGAAUCCGAUGCCAGCGGUCUAGACACAGAAAGUGUAGUCCAAGAUGCUACAAUUCCGAGAAGUGAGAACAUUGUAUCAAGUCACCAAGCCUGCAGGGCUCUGAACACAUACUGGACAGUGGGUCCAGUUCACAGGCAUCUGCAUGACAACAAUGGUCAGGCACCGUGUGGGGCGCUAGACAUGGAAUGGAACGUGCAUCACAGCCCCAAACCCCAGUGUCGGGAGUCUGGAGAGCUUGAGAAGCAAAUGCUGUUUUGGGGUGGCGCCUUACUGUCUCAUGAGAAUAUUCACAGCGGUGCUGGCAUCUCAGUCACUGGAAGUUAGGAACCUGAAGAGAAGAUGAGCAAGGGAAUUCGCAAACAAUGGGGAUGGAAAUAAAUACCAACAUAAGCAGAAGACAGUCUGAACAUUUGACAAGCCCUCCCAGGACCCACAGUGACAGGCUUGGAGGCCAUUUGAGGGCAGAGUCAGGAAGAGUCUGAAUCCUGUUUGGGGCACCCAGUAGAAGAGUUCCCUUAGUUAGAAUGCUAAGUUCACUGCCGUAGAGUAUCAUGUAAGGAGACAACAUGUGCUAGAAUCCACAUGGACUUUCAUUACUUCCCAGAAUGAGCCUGAAGCAAGACAAAUCCUGUUUUUCAGAUACGGAUUUAGAAGGAUAGACGUUGGGACAGCUUGUCCUAAAGCUAAGGGGUGCGUACAGGCAGCAACAGACCAGCUAACCCCCCUUCUCUAGCCUAGUGGUCCUUAACCUCCCUAAUGCUGCGACCCAGUUCCUGAUGUUGUGGGAACCUAUGCAAUUCCCAACCAUGAAAUUAUCUCCUUGCUACUUAAUAACUGUAAUUUGCAACUGUUAUGAAUCAUAAUGUAAAUAUGUGAUAUGUGACUCUUCAAAGGGACCACAGCCAACAGGUUGAGAACCGUUGCUGUAGCCUCUGCCUCUCACCCCACACACUGCUGUAGACUAUAGGGGCAAAGGGUGCACAUACACAGACUUUAGUGUAUAAAACUAUAUUAAAAACAAGUGCAGAGAGAUAAUGGGGGAUAUAAGGGUAGUGGGGGGAUAUGAAGCCACAGAGUGUCAACCAUACAGAUUCAGUUUAUCUAAAGCUGCUCACUGUUGCCUGCUACAAGAUAAUAGCGUCUCCAUUAAAGAAACAAGGGAGGAAAAAACUGCUAUAAAUGAUUAAAGGACAAUUUAAACACACUGCAGUGGACAUACUGUUCCUUGAGAAAGGAGUUUAAGCUCCUGCUUGGGCUCUGCUGUGGAAACCCUCUGAAGCUGGCCUAGUGACUGACAGCUCCUGAGAUACAAAGAACCCUCUGUGAAGCUCACAUUCCUUUCCCAUCACCGCAGCAAUAUUAAAACUACUAAAGUAUGCUUUAUGCCUUGAUAUUCCUCUUUGUAAAGGAGAGUGCAGUCAUGCUUAGGCCUUAGUUACCAAGCAAGUUCAUUCCUAGGUUUGAAAACCCUAGCAGAAAAAAACUACAGUAACCGGGCCACUGAUCGGUGAUAGAUCGCUAACCCAGCAGCCUAAGUACCUUGAAAACCACCUUCUCUGUGGCCAGUCACGCUUGCUUGUCUAUCACUACAAUGUACCGUUCAUAAGGUACAACACAGUGCAGCUUUGAAAUCACUGGGGGGAAGUCAUUAUCUAUAAAAGGGGGAUUGGUUAGGCUCUUACCCCAAAAUGCAAAAGUUAGAACCAACUUUCUGGUCUUACUCAUCCGACAAAUAUUUAUUCAUCUCUAAGCAAGUGGCUACUUCAAAACUACCAUGGC